rnacentral:miRNA from 1 species
CUUUUUGCGGUGUGGGCUUUCU